CCCGACCUGUACCACUCGGAAGUCGCCGGCUGCUACCUGGCCGGGCGCCUGCCGGGCAACCCGGAGCCGUGUUCCGUCGCCGGGCCGGGCCC
rnacentral:tRNA from 1 species